GCCUCCAUUACCGCUCAGACGUUGACACGCCAUCCCCGCUCUCUCUCUUCCUCCAAGAACCGGAGAAUGGCGUGAAAUCGAAUCGUAAUGCGUUAGGCGCUCCUACCCCCUCGACGGCUAUAAAACCCUAGCAAUCGCUUCUUUCUCUCCAACACCCCCGCCCACAACUCCUCUCCCUCGAGCCUUCGCCUCGCUCUCUUCAACGGCGUCGCCACCCAAAGUGGUCGUGGAGCACCCGAAAUCCGGCAGCUAUUCUUGCAAGAACUGCGAGAAGGCCAUCGGGGCGGGUUCUUAGAGGCUGGCCUCGUCGGGCGAAGACCCUCGGGGGUUUGACCUCGUGAAAUAGUAUCAUUUGAAUUGCUUUCCGGCUCGGGAUACCCUCUCGCUGCCACGGAGGAGAUAUGGGGUUUUCUUUUUAGAAGCUCUCUAGCACAGAUGAAGCAGGAUGAAUUUAAUCAAAAUAAUUCUUCAAUGGUCUCCCAUAAAGUGGUUGCAGAGUAUGCCAACUCCAAACGAUUGUCUUGCAAGAAUUGUGGGAAGGCCAAAGUUGCAGGUUCUCUGAGGCUGGGCUCUACCAGCAAAGUCCCUGGAGGGUUUGAGCUCCUGAAAUGGUAUCACCUAGGCUGCUUUCCGGUUCAGUUCCACCUGCUUACUGCUGUUAACAUGAUAAUUGGAUUUUCUUCUUUAAAGACAAAGAUGCAUUGAGGAAGCUAGAGGCUGCUGCUUCACCUAGCCAAACUGCCACAGAGGUUAGUUAAAGAGAUGGCAAUGCAAUUGAAGAGUAUGAGGAAAAGGAUUCAAGGAUAACAAAGCUUAACAUGUUCUGCUGUUGAGCUGUAAUUUAGUUAUGGAGCUUAUAUUGUCUUUGAUUUGAUUGCUGUAAUCCAUUUAUCCUUUUUCUUAUAGGUCUGUGCUACAGAUGAAGCUGGACAUGGUAAAUUUACAGAAAAGAGUUGACGAGCCAAAGAUAUGCAUUCAUAUGUCUUUAACUGGAUUGGCGAGAUAACUUCCAUUUUCAAAUGUUAACUUAAUUAAAUAUUUUAUUGGAUAAAAUUUACUUUGUUGGGUGGAUGCGUCUACGUCAAAUUUGCCAGGCUUUAACUUAUAUUUGGAGGAAUAAAUGUAAAUAACCACUUAUUUUAAUGAAACCCAAUAGUUGGAUGUCCUUGAAUAAAAACUGAAAAUUAUCAACACUAGAGUUUCGAACACUAUGUAUGUGUGGCUGUAUAUACGCAUGUGUCAGGCAUGGGGCAUAUGUAUCACAAUGGCUUCUUAAAGUUUAUUUGUUUUAUCUCCUUCUUGUUCUUUUCACUUCUUAUGAUAUCUUGAACAGUUAAAAGUUAUAUAUAAGGUAGUAAUUCCUUGUUUAAUUAGAAAUUUAAAAUGUGUUUAGGAAUAUAGGAUAAUUAAGAUCAUAGCAAGGGUGAGACAGCAAUUAAAGAAAGCAACUGUUGUUGGUAGAAUUUUUUUAAUAAAAAAAAGAGUAUAUUAGAGUUUGGCAUGUCCAUGUAUAAACUUGAGUUUAUUUAUAGAUCUAAAAUCUGUAGGCUGGCAUGCAACCACCCUGUUUUUUUCUGGAUAGGUUGGCCAUAGAUGACUGGCCCUUUUGGCCACCCAGUGAGUAUUAAUUAUGUUCUUUCUAUUCCUGUUAGUUUUUGACAUUGCAAUACCCCUUAUUGUCAUGUUACUGAUGCAACCAAAUAAUUUCAUGCAUAUACUUGGACUUCGUUGUCUGUAGAUGGCAAAAAGAAUGGCUUUGAGAUGGCCUGUUCUGCAUCUGAUGUCAAAGAUAAUUACAAGGUGUUCCUUCCUUUUCUUCAAGCAUACUAGCGAUAUUUGUUCAUCUCUUUACUUGGAAUAAUAUCAGAAGAUAUUUUGUUAUUGUUUGUGUGCAUGCAUUCUCCAACUGCAAUUUUGUUUUACUUUUAACUACUUUUCCUGUGAUGCAUUAGUCUCUAUGGUAAUUUAUGUUUUGCUUUCUUGGUCCAAGAUGCGACCCUUUCACCAAAAUGUAAGGCCUUAAAGACGGUCAUUUCUUGUGAGUGCAUGAGAUUAUUUUAAAAUUAAGUUGUCAUUAUUAUUGUGAUUUCAUUUUGCCAGCAACCAGCUUGCUAAUUGU